GAACGCGAAGAACCUUACCAGGUCUUGACAUCCCUCUGACCGCUCUAGAGAUAGAGUUUUCCUUCGGGACAGAGGUGACAGGUGGUGCAUGGUGUCGUCAGCUCGUGUCGUGAGAUGUUGGGUUAAGUCCCGCAACGAGCGCAACCCCUAUUGUUAGUUGCCAUCAUUCAGUUGGGCACUCUAGCGAGACUGCCGGUAAUAAACCGGAGGAAGGUGGGGAUGACGUCAAAUCAUCAUGCCCCUUAUGACCUGGGCUACACACGUGCUACAAUGGCUGGUACAACGAGUCGCAAGCCGGUGACGGCAAGCUAAUCUCUUAAAGCCAGUCUCAGUUCGGAUUGUAGGCUGCAACUGCUACAUGAAGUCGGAAUCGCUAGUAAUCGCGGAUCAGCACGCCGCGGUGAAUACGUUCCCGGGUCUUGUACACACC
rnacentral:rRNA from 1 species